GAUGAACGCUGGCGGCGUGCCUAAUACAUGCAAGUCGAGCGAACGGACGAGAAGCUUGCUUCUCUGAUGUUAGCGGCGGACGGUUGAGUAACACGUGGAUAACCUACCUAUAAGACUGGGAUAACUUCGGGAAACCGGAGCUAAUACCGGAUAAUAUUUUGAACCGCAUGGUUCAAAAGUGAAAGACGGUCUUGCUGUCACUUAUAGAUGGAUCCGCGCUGCAUUAGCUAGUUGGUAAGGUAACGGCUUACCAAGGCAACGAUGCAUAGCCGACCUGAGAGGGUGAUCGGCCACACUGGAACUGAGACACGGUUCAGACUCCUACGGGAGGCAGCAGUAGGGAAUCUUCCGCAAUGGGCGAAAGCCUGACGGAGCAACGCCGCGUGAGUGAUGAAGGUCUUCGGAUCGUAAAACUCUGUUAUUAGGGAAGAACAUAUGUGUAAGUAACUGUGCACAUCUUGACGGUACCUAAUCAGAAAGCCACGGCUAACUACGUG
rnacentral:rRNA from 1 species